CAGUGUGGUGGGGAUAUUUUCUAAUAAGUUCCUUUAACCUCUCCCAUGUUUCAUGAAACAUUUUUCCAUCUAAUUGGGAAAAACUAGUUAUGACUUUUUUUAUUUG